rnacentral:rRNA from 1 species
UACGAAGGGGGCUAGCGUUGUUCGGAAUCACUGGGCGUAAAGGGCGCGUAGGCGGCUUUAUAAGUCGGGGGUGAAAGCCUGUGGCUCAACCACAGAAUUGCCUUCGAUACUGUAGAGCUUGAGACCGGAAGAGGUAAGUGGAACUGCGAAUGUAGAGGUGAAAUUCGUAGAUAUUCGCAAGAACACCAGUGGCGAAGGCGGCUUACUGGUCCGGUUCUGACGCUGAGGCGCGAAAGCUAGGGGAGCAAACGGG